CUCUCGACUAUUGCUUAUAGUCUAAGGUGAGGUCAUCCUUGAGUAACAUUGUAUGAAUUUUUUUAAAACAUACUCUUAGUAUGCAGCACAGGUUAGGCAUGAACUCAUAUAAUGCUCCUUCCUCAGAUUUGGUGCUGGGAAUAUAGGUAUGUACCUACCUAGAUGGAGUCUGUGUCUCUCCUUUUCUUUCCCCAUUGCCCUUUUCUGCUUCUCCUUCCUUCCCACAUCUUGCCCCCCUCUCAUCAUCCUCUUAUUCUGUUUCUGAAGUCUCACAUCCCUUUUUGCCAACGUUUGCUAUGAUGUGAAUCAGCCCUAGGGAAACUGGAGCUGCAUAUGGCUCCCCUUUCCCAUUGUGUUUUCCACCCUUGUCCUGUGUGUGCUUCAAAGAGGCCUUCAAAGGUAUGUCGAGUGCAGAAACUUGUCUUUUAUCUGAGAAAGAGGAGAGUGGGUAAGGGGACUGAGGAGUGGGGAUGGCAUGGCUAUCUGGGGUGACCUGACUCUUUCCACAUUCUUUGUCAUGAUUUCACCGGCACUAAUCCAAGUGUUACUGUUCUGACAACAAAACCCCUGGGGGGCCUGCUCAUCAGUACUCUGUGUGAUGAGGAACAGGAAGGAGGGCAUAUUGUCAUGUAGCUGAGAAUUAAACGUGAUUAUUUCUUCAUCAAGCACUUGCUUAAUUACAGCUUUUAAGAACCCCAUGAGAAGAGUUGGUGAAAAUUCCUUGGUUAUAAAUCUGAGAGUGAAGGGUCCCAGGUGGUCAUUUCUGUUUCAGGGUCUCUGAGCUAAUCCCAGAUUUUAGAGUGUGUAUUUUUUUCCCUGCCAUGCCAUGCUGGCCAUGGAAGUGGGACUGUGUCAAUACAUCUGGGAAAGGCCUUUAUAGACCAGGACUGUAAGUGGGGCCAAAAUCCAGGUCUGAUAUGGGACUCUGCUAGGGAAGCAAGUGAGACAAGCUCAACAUUUUAUGUUUCUAAAAUGAUUAUUGAUGAGUCAUCGAUGAGUGUACUCAUAUUAAUAUUUCCCAAUUCUUAUGACUAGUUCAUGAAAUACAAGUAUUUAAUAUACUGUUUAAGAAGUAUUUAAUAUACUGUUUAAGAAGUACCAUCUAAAGAAACUAUUAAUCUCCUCAUUUCAUGAAUGGCAGAAUUGAGGCUCAGUGCAGUUGAGACUUUUAUUGGUUCUCAGUGAGAUACAGAGUCAUAAUGAGAGUUUUUAAACUUUUUGAAGUUCCAUGAUUAAAUAAAUACAUUUUGGUUUUAGUGAAAUGAGAAGUAUAGAAGCAAAGACAUUAAAAAACACUUUUCUGGAGAAUUACAUAAAUAUAUGUGCAAGCAUUUGUAAGUUUCAGAGGUGUGUAGACACUUGUGCAUGCAUUUAUGAAUACUGUCAACAUUUAGUCUAUGUGAUCAUGUUGGAGGGAUAGGUUUCCAGUGUUUGCUAUUCCUUGCUGGAGGUAUCCUUAGUUUCUCUAAGUCAGCUCCUACUCUUGGUUUCAAUUCAUGCAAGUUUUAGUUUCUGAACCCAUCCAUAGGAAGAAUCUAUUCAUUUGGCCUCAGGUAUAUAAAUACCUGGAAUACACUGAUACCAGUUCGAUCUCCUUUGCUUCCUUGACCUUGAAUCAGUAUGGAGAGGCUGAAGACGUUGUUUACAGCUUUGCAAGUAAACCUUCUUUUAAGCAGAGCAAUGAAGUUUUGCUUAAACUACAAUCUACAAAGGGUAUGACUUGAAUUACAAGUAUAAAAAAGUAUUCUGGAGAAAUCCUGCGUUACCUAUAACAUUAAAGAGUCAUUGUAACACUUAAUGAUUAGUGAGCCUUAUGGGGCAUUUUCAAUACUUUUUGCUUGUGAAAUCUUGGGGCAUUUCCGGUCUUGUAUUUGCAACACUUUCUGAGUUAUGGCUGGAGAGUUUUUCUCCUCUUCUAUAGAGGUUACAACCGUUGAAAUAGACUACUAGAUACAGUUUCAGUUUCUUACUGAGUGUGAAACCUGUUCUGCUUAUGAAUAUUGUUUUGGAUUUUGCUUUCAAGUUUCUGCUGCAAGCGGCCUUGGCUCCAGUGUAAUCUGGCACUCAGCCCCUUCUUUCAGGUGAGAGGCCAUUAUGCCCAGUGUAGAUUGAUCAUUCAUUCACCCAGAGACCUUGAAAUGUCUCCUUCACUUUGUAAGCAGUAGGAAUGAACAGACUAGGAGUGGGAUAAAAGGGAAGCCAAACACUCUAAAUAAUUUGCUGAAGAGCUUUCUUUACUCCAUGCCUUGACCCCAGAGAAGCUGUUGUCAGACCUACAUGUUGGCAACAACAUGACAGACAAUAAACGUUGUUUCUGCCAUGACUUUGUCAGUCUUAGCUUUAAACUCUCACAGAGAAGAUUUGUCGCCUCCACCAGAGCUUCUGAGUCAGUCCUAGGGCAGGCAGCUUCCAUGUGACAUGGACUGAAGGCCUGAAGUGAAGGUGGAUUUCCUUUUAUCAAGGUUGGCUGAAGGAAAGUAGCCACCAGGAGGUUCUGGAAGUCUGGGAAUGGGCGACACUACGCUGGCAGCACUGGCCCUUGGAGUUCAGCCAGGGCAGAUACUGAAGAUGAGGCUCACUCCAGCUGCAGAUGCCAGGGCUCAAGAUUCAUAAUCCUGAGCUCGACAGCUGCCAAACUAGCCCCCUGAGUGUCCAAAUGAGCUGGCUCUUCUGAAGGAGAUGACAGGAAGGAACCGGAGGGAUUGUCAUGGCAUCCUUCCAAAUGCAGCAUUAAAGGGACGUAAGAGAACACUGCAAUUUUUUUUGCUUUAACUUUAGAGAAUACAAAGAGUCACACAAUAAUCUCAGUUUAAUAUAUCAUUGUGAUGGACAGGAGUUGUGAGCUUGACUUUUUAUACUACUGUUACUCUUUUGAUUUUUACAGCAACUGUUCAUUCUGGUAAUCGAUAGACAUUUAUGAAGUGCCCUUCACACAUCAAGUAAUGAGAAUGUAGAGAUGGAAAAGGUGCAGCCAUCUGUUUGAAUGAUGGGUUCUCAAUGCCUUUGAAUAGCAUAGUUAGGAGGGGCUAAAAACAUUGUGGCUCACCAAUCUCACCUUCUCUUCCCCCUCUCAGUAGUGACAAAUUAUAAAGAAUAAUAAAGAUGUUAUUACUUUAGGAUUGGUGAAACACAUUGUCUUACACUUGAAUGAUAAUGCUUACUCUGAGGGUUUAAAACUAUGCCCCUGAUUGAUUUUAAUAGAAAUACACAGUUUUGGCACUGUACAGUUAUACAAGUAACCCCAAAUAAAUUAAUAACACAAAUGAAUACUAUUUUUUAGUUAUUGUAACAUAUAUGUCUUGCUACUGAUAAUAUGCUGGUGAGAAAGCAAAUUUGUAUGUUAUCUGUUUGUGUAUAUGUGGAGGAUUUCUUAGUAGAAAAUUGAGUGUUUUAGUCAACUUUCUGUUACUAUACUGAAAUAUCCAAAUUAAUCACCAAUGUACAAAUAGAAAAGGUCUAUUGUGGCUCAUACUUUGGGUGGUUUCAGCUUAUAAUCAUUAGGCCCCAUUAUAGUUUAGACUUUGGCUUGCCAGUGCAUGAUGGCAGAGAUGCUGACUACCUCACGUCAGGAGAGAGAAGGGUGGGAGGGGGAAGAAGGAUGCAAAGGCUCCCACAGUAUUUAAGGCAAUGUUUUCAAUGUUCUAAAACCGUCUGAUAGACUCCACCUCUUAAAUAUUUCCACUAUUCUCAAUUAAGAUUUUCUGGGAACCUUGACUUGAAUGUACAGGCCUGCUGGGGGAAGAGUGAAGUUCCAAAUCUUCACAAGCUAAGCCUCCUAUUUGCACUCUGAAGAACACUAGUUUUCAUUUAUGAAUACUAAAUGUUAGAAACUUCUGGCAUACUUUGCUAGGAAACAGCCCCCAUGCUACAUGAGAAAGUGGAUGUUUUAUAUUGACCUUAAUUCUCCCUAAGAACCUGGAAAUGAGAGUUUCUGAAAUAAAGAUAGACAGGCAGGUGAUAUCACAGAAGGAGGGCAGGGGUCCCUUGUGCAUGAGCGCCAGGCAAGCUUCUUAGUGUUUCUGUUCUCUCAGUGAGUCUGGGAACCUCGUAUGGAUGAGGGAUGCAGAGGAGCUGUUCAGGUGGAGGAAGCCACACUAACAGGCAUGUGGACUCCGCCCAUUGUUAGUCACUCCGAAUUCUCAAUUCUCGAACGCUUUACAGCCUGUCAGUUCCCCACAACUCAUCUGGGAGAAAGCUGACUUGGAGUAAUGUGGGACUGGGUAUUGUUCACACUUAUUUUGCUAGUGUUAAUAUCCACAUAUUUACUUAUAGAACUAUUAGUGUAUUGGCUACAAGGCACACUCCCAUGCUUCACAAAGGCUUUUGUGUAAUGGAUGCUACAUGCACUAAAGCACCUUUCCAAAACGUGAAAACCUGUGACUCCUAAAGCACAUUUGGCUCCAGCAUAUCAGAUAAGUGGUGGUUUGCCUUUGGGUUACUCUAGAAAUUUUUACUAUGGUUUGGCAAUUAGGGAAGUUUGGAGUUCACACCUGUAUCCCCAGCAUGUCAUACCCGCACCUUGCUCCAUGCUCCAUGCCGUUUGUUUCCUAGUGCUGCUAUAGCAAACUGGGGAGUGUGGGGGUUCUUGAACAACAAAAAUUGAUUGCUUAAAAUUUUGGAGACAAAACUUCCUUCCAAGGGCUACGAGGGUCGGCUUGUUGAAGGCUUUUCUCCUCAGCUUCUCAGUGGCCAUUGUCUCUUCCUUCACAUUAUCUUUCAUCAGUGAGAUACAUCUGGCUUCAAAUUUCCUCUUCCUUUAAAGAUAUAUGUUCCAGUAGAUUUGCACGCAUUUUAAUGACAUCAUCUUAAUUACAUUCACAAAUACAUUUGUACUGUGUUGUACCGAAGGUCAGAAUGUUAGCAGAUGAAUUUCAGUAGUCUCUUUUUUUUAUAUUAGUAACUGAAGGUAUGGAACAUCUCUUUCCCUCCAAAUUUAUUAGGGGUUUAAUAUUCAAGAAACUUGCAAGUUAUUUAUUAUAUUUACAUUAAAAAUAUUACCCUUAUUUCUAAGGAUGACUCAGAGAUGUUCAAUAACAUCCUCAAGGCCACACAGUAAUACAUAACUUGGGUCUCAAUCUUGGGCUUUUGUUCAGGGAACUGGGAGAUGGUAAACAUAAGGAGAUUAUUUCCUGGACAUAUCUUAAGAUGAUAGGUAAAACUUAACUUCUUCCAUGUGUUGUUCAGAUUAUAAGUGUAGGCUCAUGAAUGUUGCACGGUGUAUGCUUCAGACAGGUAGGUAUUGAAUCUCUCUGGUGGUUUAGAUGAUCAUCAGCUGUGGAGAUGAUUCGAGUCCUGUAUCUAUCUCCUUUCUGAACAGUGACAAAGGCAAUAUGGUCUAUGAAAGUCUCCAAAAGCAUGUUAACUUUUCAUAUGAGGUAGAGAUUCACCUGACUCCACCAGCUACUCACUCACUUGCCUUUUCCUAAUUUAAGUGAGUGGCUCAAAUGAGAAACAUUACAUACUGUAAAAGUAUUUAUUGCCUUAUUUCUUAAACAUUUUGUGGUCAGUUUAACUCAUAUGACCCACACAUCUUCUGUCUUGUACAGAAACAGCUACAUCCUUAAUGCCAUUUCUUCUGUUUAAAAAGUGUGUGUAUAUGUGUUAGUAUUUAUGUAACUAGCAGGCACACAGGCAGAUGAACAAACAGGUCAAUAGAGGUUUGGCAGUUUAGAGAAACAUUCUAGCUAAAAUGACCCUCUUAAGCAAUUUCUAAGUAACUGGGCUAAAAAUAUUUCCCAUGGGGGCUGCUUAUGAGUGAGUCAAAAAGUCUGCAUUUCUGGCCAGAUGUGUGUCCAGGUGGGAGGUGGGAUAAACAUAAGAGCAGUUCUGCAGAACUCCCCCUGGUCUGUGGGAUUCUGCGUCAUCAUCAUCAAUUACUGUUUAUUGAGUGAUAGAUCAUGGGGCCUGUGGCAUUCUUUGCUGCUCCAAAUGGCAAUAUUUUAUUUCCUGCCAUGAGAAUCCUGGAGAGUCGCUACAUUUCACAGCUAAAUGGUGGAUAUUUGAACAGUUGGUUAAAGGGGAUCGUUCAUAUCUUGUUUAUAAAAAUGCUUUUCAGUGUUUUUCUUUGGAAUUGAGAGAAAUCUUCUAAAAGUAUGUAACACCUACCCAGUGGGUGGCAACCCACUGUCCCCUGCCACUUCUUACUUCCCCCAUUCUCCUCUCUUCCAGAGGACGGGGAAUGCAUAUGUCACACUAAAAUCAUCUUUCUCUCUUGAGAGUACAGUAUUGAUGUAACUGCUGACGUUCAUAUUACUUUUUACCAGAAUGUUCUAAGGGGUGUUGGGUAAGAGCUGAUCCACUUCUGGCAUGGUAAGGUCCAUCUGUAAUUCUAGCACUUGGGAGGCUGAAGCAGGAGUACCCUGAGAUUAAGGCCAUGUUGGAUCUUAUAGCAAGUCCAAUGCCAGCCUUGACCAUUCAGAAUGAUCCCAUUUCAACAAGCAAGCAAGCAAGCAAGCAAGCAAGCAAGCAAACAAACAAACAAACAAACAAACAAGACCCAACCCAUAUUGGGAAUCACUGUUGGGAAAUACUCAUUGUCAAAAUUUUCAUCUUCCUCAUUUAGCAGUUGACAGAACUGUAGAGUCCGUCAUUUUAAUGACACCAGCAAACUUACUUAUGAGACGUAGAUGUUAUCACAUCAGCCCUCUAGGACAUGGGAAAUAGAAUAAAGCACACAUUUCUCAUUUGGAUGACUCCUGAUUUAUUUGUUACUCUGCAUUCCUGUUUCCCUCUAUAGCUUCCCUAGCCCACUUACUUAUUCAAGUACAUGCUUGCUACUCUUGCCACAGGAGAUCAUUACAGAAUUAUGUAUUAGUCAUAUGUUCCACCACCAUUGUUCCUUUAAAUUUAUUCUUUAUUUCCUCUGUAACACCAUUUUCUGUUGUCCAAGUUAUGUUUCAGUCAUGAGCAUCACUAUGUUGUUGCUCAAAUUCUCCCAGAAGCCCCCUCUUCACAUUACUAGAAAGCUCUCCUUUUUUGUCUCUCUUUCAUUGCCUAUCCCUCAGGUGACCUAUUUUAACUCUUUCCUCUCCGUUCCCCACUCCUCAUGCUUUCGAUAUUUAAUCUUUGCCUAUUAGUAGCUGUAUAUCUCCUGUCACUGGCUGACACUGUCCCCACUUUGGCUUCAAGACAUUCAAGUUAUCACCCAGGAAGCCAGAAAAUCCAGAGCACUUGCUGAGUUGUCCACUGUGAAGUAACAGUGAGCAUUGAGGACCUCCUCCCCAAUAUAUUUGCUAAUUAUGAAUAAAAUAGUUUUCUAUGAAAUAUCACUUGAGAUUCUUUUGAUAUCACCCAGGACUCAGAGAUAUUUUGAUCUUGCAGAGAUUUCCAAGUUGAUCAAUAAGAGUAAUUUUUGCCUUUGAGGAAAACGCUUGCCCGAGGGAGAAGUUACUUUACCAAUUCAUUCUUACCCUUGUACACUUGCUCAUUUGCCAAGAGGAAGUAGAGUUUUUGUUGGUGGUGUUGUUGGUGUUGUGUUUUUAGGUUAUGGAGGAGAGGAAAUGAAUAAUUCUCAUGCCACUCAUCUCAGCUCAAAUAAAAAUUUAAAAUUCUUUGUAAAGAAAAAAAGAAUAAAAAUAGAGAGACUACAAUGUCCAGGGUUUAGAAGGUUACUUGAAAGAAAAAGGGUUGAAUGUUUUCCUUUACGAUUUCAGGGUGGUCUGCAUAGAGACUUGGUUAUUUUUUGUCCUUUCAGGUUAAUUUUGAUACAAUUAAUCAUUUAAUAAGCAGAAGUGUAUGCAUUAUGAUAUGAUAAAGAGGUAUUGGUUGAUUAAAUCAUUCAAGUCACAAAUAUUUGCUGAUGCCUAUGUAUGUGCAGGAAUAAUGAGGCACCAGAGGUCCAAUAGGAAAGAAGCUGCAUGCACUGCUUACUUUCACUGACCUUACUAUUGUGCACAGUGGCAGGUCAGCAAUGAGCUGUGUGGGAGCCCAGCAAUGAUGUUCCAGGGGAAGGACAGGUGCUGUGGGCAACAGAGCUACCUAAGCUGUAUUUAAGGGUCAUCUAUAAAUUGGAGACUGAAGGAUAAAUACAAUUAAGUGGCCAGAAUAAAGAAAAAGGAGCUGUAAAAAGAAGGAUAGAUAUAUGUGAAGUACAAGAACGUGGCAUUUGUGAAGGUCAAUGUCACUAAGGCACAGAGAUCGACAUGUGACAUUUAUCAUGAGGAGCCUACCCUCUGUACUGGUGAGCAAGAAGCAAAAGAAGUCACUCUUCCACUCCAGCCCUCACCUGUGUUAUUUGGUACUUCAUUCUGGGUAUGGAAUGGUCAGGCGUCUGCACAAAGAUCAGAAGGAUACUUGGCUCGGUUCUCUUUAAUGAGAACAUGUAGUGUUGAAACAUUGAGUCUCUGCCGUGUUGGUGUUUGUGAUUCUGUUUGUAGGAAUGGUAGAGUGGGGUCACAGAGGGGAAGACAGGAACAACGUUUAAUUUCCUUAUACACGGGACAUUAUAUGGGGACAGUUCUUGGCAAUUCUCUGAGAUAAUAUAAAGCACACACUGAGGAGAGGGCUGACAUGCAGAGAUGAUGGCUGACAUCUGAAGAAGUGUCAGAGGGCGCUGGGCUGCCUGACACUAUGUUUUGAUAGAAAAAAUUUGGAAAAUUUUUUCAUUGUUUAGUGCUCUUAAGUGGCUUUUGCUUUUCACAUGUGGAAUGUCUAUCAAAUAGGCAGAUAAAAGGGCGGUAGCAAGCACAGUAUUUAGGAGCUGAAUUUAGUAGUUUGGCUGUGAUACUUGGAGUAACUGAAGUAUGCUCUAAUCUAGAUUAUGAUGCUUUGUGCAUAAUAGGUGUGUAAAAUAUUAUUGGAUUAAAGAUGGAUUUUUAACACAUUAAUAAAGACUAUGAUCAAUACAGAAUUAAAAGAAAUAUAUAGACUACUUUUUUCAUCAUAUGUAUGUAUUACAGUAUUCUCCCCACUUACUGGGUUGGGUAUGUAGUGUUGGAUGUUAUAUUGAAGAAAUGUACCUCUAAUUACGAGAAACAAGAAUACCAAUCUUCACUGUCAGCAAUGCAGUUACAGUGUCUUAUAUUUUCUAAGGUAUAUUUAUACCUUAUUCCUACCUCAUACAGCUUGCAAAGAUGAAAGAAGGAAUGUGGAUAGCAUAAACUGAGAAAUGUGUGGAGUCUGCAUUUACCUUCUAGCUCAGCAGCGUUCUCUGAUACAAGGAGGAUUACUGGAAAUGCACACAUUCAUGAUCCAGCCUAACUACUGGAGGACACUGGGACAAGUUCUCUAAGCUGUUGUGUUUCCUUCUUCAGGUCUCCCAUGCCCUGUCUUUUUUUUUUUAGUUCCAAGAGUAAAGAUAACAUCAUUGGCAUGGGCUUUUGAGGAAGCUAUGAUGAAUAGUGAGAUUUACAGACAGAAAUUAGUACUAGUACAGAAUAUGUAUUUACUAUUUGCCUUCUCCAUCACUUCUAAUGCAUAAAUCUUAUUAUUUCUUUUCACCUACAUAAAUUUUAUUUUUCUUGGUAGGGGCAAAUAGAAUUUUCUUUUGUUUGAUCUAUCAAAGAAGACUUUCGUAAAUUAAUAAUGCAAAGGAAGUUAACUGUUAAAUUUAAAUUUACUCAAUAUCCAUGCUUUUAAAAAUAUUGAAGCAAAUGAAUUCCAGCUAUUAAUUAAAGUAGCUGCUUCUUGUGUAAAGAGCUCUCAUGAGCUGAUUAAGCAACACACUGUAUUCACUUGUUCAAUUUCAGAAGACCUUUGCCUUGCCUGAUUCAGUAACAUUUCCCACAACCUUUCUCAACAUUACAAAUGCUGUUUUGUUUUCUUCAAUGACCCAUCUAAACUAUAAAUACACCUAAACUAGGGGAUUCUGAAGAUGGGAAAAAAUAGACAUAGACACACACACACACACACACACACACACACACAUUUACAAGCACACAUGCACAUGUACACACAUACCCCAAACCCCACAUGUAUAAUUUGGAACAAGAACACACCAUUUUAAAAAUUAAA